rnacentral:lncRNA from 1 species
GUCACAGAGAUCUCCAAUGGCAGCAUCAGGAUUGGCUCUUAAGAUGUUGGACUCUGAAUCCAGCUUGCCUUCAUCUCCUUCACAAUGGGCUCUCACAGCUGCUGCUGAAUCUACCCCUUUUCUCACCCAAAGCAAACAGAGCAGGUCCCUCCCGCCUUCCAGAAUUCCCUGAGUGACACCCUGAGCCUACGUUAAGGAGAGGAGCAAAACUGGACAGCAGGCCUUGUGGGUGAAUAUUUGCCAUUCUGAAGGAGUCAGGAGGAUUGGAGUGAUCCCGUGGCGGCCAGCACUAUCUGGACCAGCUGCUCCCUCCUCCUCUGGAGGGAGAACCCAAGUAAUGAGCUUCAGGCUCAGGCUGGGACAACCCAUUGCUGUUACCAUGGAGGCAGAGCUCAGGAAAGGUUCGGCUGGGUAAUUAUUGCAAACAUCUAUCCUGCCUCCCGCUCCCCGACACCCUCGCUGGGGAAAAUCAGAGGCAGAGAGAGAGCUCCCAGCACCAACGAAGGCAGGCCGGGGACAGCCCCCCUCGGCCUUCUUCCCUCCACCCCCAUCCCCCGCCCGGCCUGGCAAGAUGCCGAGGCAAGCUAUGAAGAGGAGAGAAAAAGAAAUCCAGGCCAUGGGAUCAGACCUGGGCGUGGGGCAGCGGCGAUGGCAGCGCUCCACUCCUCAGAGGGGACUCCUCUUGGGGGUCACGAGGAGGCCCCCCAGACGUCAGUGCCAUAGUCCUGGGCCACACCUUUGCUAAGAGUCUGGGGGUGUUUCUACAGUAAACCUUUGCCCCCGCCAUCAUUCCUUAGACCCCUCCCCAGCCCCUCGAACUAAACUGGAACUCAUUUCUAUCCAUGCUUCCUAGAAGGGAAAAAACCCCCGCAAUGGAACCUUUUUUGUUCAGUUAGAGAACCAGAGCUACAAGGAACCUUAGAAACCCCACGACCAGCCCCCCAGUUUUGGAAAUAAAGAUGCUAAAGCCCGGGAAAGGGAAAUCA